UGAUGAUGAUGAUGGUGAUGAUGAUGGUGAUGAUGAUGAUGAUAAAAAUAAAAGCUGUACGCCAUCACAAGUUAAAUGAAAAAUUUACAUCAGCAUAGCACUACUACCAUCACCAUAAUCAUCAUCAUAAUCAUCAUCAUCAUCAUUCUCGUCA
rnacentral:pre_miRNA from 1 species